UACAGAGGUCUCAAGCGUUGUUCGGAUUCAUUGGGCGUAAAGGGUGCGUAGGCGGCGCGGUAAGUCGGGUGUGAAAUCUCGGAGCUUAACUCUGAAACUGCAUUCGAUACUGCCGUGCUUGAGGACUGGAGAGGAGACUGGAAUUCAUGGUGUAGCAGUGAAAUGCGUAGAGAUCAUGAGGAAGACCAGUGGCGAAGGCGGCUCACUGGCCCGGUACUGACGCUGAGGCGCGAAAGCGUGGGGAGCAAACAGG
rnacentral:rRNA from 1 species